AUUGAACGCUGGCGGCAGGCUUAACACAUGCAAGUCGAGCGGAGAUGAGGUGCUUGCACUUUAUCUUAGCGGCGGACGGGUGAGUAAUGCUUAGGAAUCUGCCUAUUAGUGGGGGACAACAUUCCGAAAGGAAUGCUAAUACCGCAUACGUCCUACGGGAGAAAGCAGGGGAUCUUCGGACCUUGCGCUAAUAGAUGAGCCUAAGUCGGAUUAGCUAGUUGGUGGGGUAAAGGCCUACCAAGGCGACGAUCUGUAGCGGGUCUGAGAGGAUGAUCCGCCACACUGGGACUGAGACACGGCCCAGACUCCUACGGGAGGCGGCAGUGGGGAAUAUUGGACAAUGGGGGAAACCCUGAUCCAGCCAUGCCGCGUGUGUGAAGAAGGCCUUAUGGUUGUAAAGCACUUUAAGCGAGGAGGAGGCUCUUUUGGUUAAUACCCAAGAUAAGUGGACGUUACUCGCAGAAUAAGCACCGGCUAACUCUGUGCCAGCAGCCGCGGUAAGAC
rnacentral:rRNA from 1 species